GUAGGUGGCAAGCGUUGUCCGGAAUUAUUGGGCGUAAAGCGCGCGCAGGCGGUUCUUUAAGUCUGAUGUGGAAGCCCACGGCUCAACCGUGGAGGGUCAUUGGAAACUGGAGAACUUGAGUACAGAAGAGGAAAGCGGAAUUCCACGUGUAGCGGUGAAAUGCGUAGAGAUGUGGAGGAACACCAGCGGCGAAGGCGGCUUUCUGGUCUGUAACUGACGCUGAGGCGCGAAAGCGUGGGGAGCAAACAGGGAUUAGAUACCCUGGUAGUCCACGCCGUAAACGAUGAGUGCUAAGUGUUAGGGGGGUUUUCCGCCCCCUUAGUGCUGCAGCUAACGCAUUAAGCACUCCGCCUGGGGAGUACGGCCGCAAGGCUG
rnacentral:rRNA from 1 species